rnacentral:rRNA from 1 species
CCUACGGGAGGCAGCAGUGAGGAAUAUUAGUCAAUGGACGAAAGUCUGAACCAGCCAAGUAGCGUGAAGGAUGACUGCCCUAUGGGUUGUAAACUUCUUUUAUAUGGGAAUAAAAUGUACUAUGUGUAGUGUUUUGCAUGUACCAUAUGAAUAAGGAUCGGCUAACUCCGUGCCAGCAGCCGCGGUAAUACGGAGGAUCCGAGCGUUAUCCGGAUUUAUUGGGUUUAAAGGGAGCGUAGGUGGAUUGUUAAGUCAGUUGUGAAAGUUUGCGGCUCAACCGUAAAAUUGCAGUUGAUACUGGCAGCCUUGAGUACAGUAGAGGUAGGCGGAAUUCGUGGUGUAGCGGUGAAAUGCUUAGAUAUCACGAAGAACUCCGAUUGCGAAGGCAGCCUGCUGGACUGUAACUGACACUGAGGCUCGAAAGUGUGGGUAUCAAACAGGAUUAGAUACCCUGGUAGUC